rnacentral:rRNA from 1 species
AUGAGACCUCCGAUCGGCCGUCGACCAGAACCUUCUCCGUCGGGUAUUUAUAUUCGUGCGUUCCAUGCAUAUGUCGUCCAUCCUUCGUGCCUUCUUUUUCUUCUUCUUGUCCUUCUUCUCAAGCUCACUCUAGCCCGGUCAAUGGAGAGCAAGGCGCAGCACCACGACGGUGUGACCAGCAGCCGCGGCCCCCGCCCCAAGACGCCCUCGCCGCGUCCGCUGGCCGCCGUCGUCGGCCAGAAUGCGGCCUUCUCCUGCGACUACAGCACCUACAGGUUCUUCAGGGCGAUGGCGCUUGCUGGCCACCAGAAUGCGCACAGUCUCGAGCGCAUCCUCUCCAAGCGCAAGCGCCAACUCGUCGCCCUGGAGCCGGCCGUCCCCAGGCUCCACGCCGGCGGGAAGCGCUCGCUGUCUUCCGCUGCGGCGCCCGUGCUGGCGGAUUGGACGUCGUCGGCUUUGGUUCGUGACAGCGGUGAUGCGGCCACCGCCACGCCGGAGGUGGAUUUGUCGCUGAGGCUCUGUUCGUCGUCCAUCACUGCGCCGGAGGUGGACUUGUCGCGCACCACUGCGCCGGAGGUGGACUUGUCGCUCAGGCUGUGGUCUGGUCCUCGCAGUACUACCGGGAGAGGUGGAGACGUGACCCAGCCGCGUACGGGAUCGGGAUCUCGGCGACGCAAAAAUCAGGCCGAGAAGAUAUAA